CCAGCACCCCGAGUGGUCGGGACGAUUAUUGGGCCUAAAGCAUCCGUAGCCGGUUUUACAAGUCCUCCGUUAAAUCCAACUGCUUAACAGAUGGGCCGCGGAGGAUACUAUAAGACUAGGAGGCAGGAGAGGCAAGCGGUACUCAGUGGGUAGGGGUAAAAUCCGUUGAUCCAUUGAAGACCACCAGUGGCGAAGGCGGCUUGCCAGAAUGCACUCGACGGUGAGGGAUGAAAGCUGGGGGAGCAAACCGGAUUAGAUACCCGGGUAGUCCCAGCUGUAAACGAUGCAGACUCGGUGAUGGACUAGCUUUAUGCUAGUCCAGUGCCGCAGGGAAGCCGUUAAGUCUGCCGCCUGGGUAGUACGGUCGCAAGACUG
rnacentral:rRNA from 1 species